UACGGAGGGUGCGAGCGUUAAUCGGAAUUACUGGGCGUAAAGAGCGCGUAGGCGGUCAUGUAAGUCAGGUGUGAAAGACCUUAGCUUAACUAAGGAACUGCAUUUGAUACUGCAUAACUAGAGUAUGGUAGAGGCAAGUGGAAUUGCGAGUGUAGAGGUGAAAUUCGUAGAUAUUCGCAGGAACACCAGUGGCGAAGGCGAACUCCUGGCCAAUGACUGACGCUGAGGUACGAAAGUGCGGGGAGCAAACAGG
rnacentral:rRNA from 1 species